GAGCGUGCAUGAAAGAGGGGACGGACCCUCAGCACACCACGGCUGCUCCGUGAACGUGGACGUGGGCGCGGAUCUGCUGCCAGCUGCACUCCUCUCCCCCCGUCUCCGUGUGGCUCGCGCUGCCGGGUUAUUUAGGUAUUUAAGGCUCCGGCAGCGAAUCAGAGGCGCGCUGCUCUGGUUCGAGGCGCUCCGGGUCUGCGGGACCGAAACCCCGCCAGGAGCCCCAGGCUGGUCCACGGAACUCCACUGAGCAGGCGAAACAGUCAGUGUGAGAGAGAGACAGUCCCCCUCUGAGGAACUCGGCGCUCCGUCCUGCGGGAGGGGGUUCUUCACGCGGACACCGAGGGGCCGAGGAUCUCGCACCAUAGCAGGGUGGGGUCACAACCUGAUGGAGUUGCUGAAGGACCUCAGAUUCCAGCUGAGCUUUCUGAUGUAGUGGGAGGACUUCGACCCAUCAAGGAAGUCCUGUGUCCGGCAUCAGCCUCCACUGGUCUGAGAAGCCCCAGGGGUGGGGGUGGCCAAAAGAGACGAGAGGAGCGAAGGAACAGGGAGAGCAUUGCUUUGGUGAGCUGGCGGACCACAGACGGUUGUGUAACAGUUCAGGUUGAAGAUGAGUGUAAAGAGAUGAGAGGGGUGAGAGGAGGGAGGCAGAGAAGAGGAUGAAAAAACAGUCACGCAUUCAUUUUCCUCUCCUGUCCUUAUCAGAGUCUAUGUUUGUCUGCUCCGGUCUCCCCCUUGCUCUGCUUGGCUGGACAAACUGAGUGUCUAAACAAACUAAUUAAUCAUCAGUGUUGGGGGGAGACAGACAGCUCUGCAGAGGUGAUGUUCAUCAAACUCCCCCAAUUUGGUUUUUAAUCCCUACAGCAAUUUAUUUGCUGAAUAUGCAACAUUUCCUCCACAGAAAAUCUCUCUGCCACAGCCAAGGUUAACUGUACACAGGCUCAUUCACUAUUUAUGAUUUUGCAUAGCAGAUAUGUUUUUUCCCCCCUUUCCCUCCACCGGAGUCAGAGAAUCUGGGUG
rnacentral:lncRNA from 1 species